GUCGAACGGACUCAUAUUGAAACCUAGUGAUGUAUGAGUUAGUGGCGGACGGGUGAGUAACGCGUGGAGAACCUGCCGUAUACUGGGGGAUAACACUUAGAAAUAGGUGCUAAUACCGCAUAAGCGCACAGCUUCGCAUGAAGCAGUGUGAAAAACUCCGGUGGUAUACGAUGGAUCCGCGUCUGAUUAGCUUGUUGGCGGGGUAAAGGCCCACCAAGGCGACGAUCAGUAGCCGGCCUGAGAGGGUGAACGGCCACAUUGGGACUGAGACACGGCCCAAACUCCUACGGGAGGCAGCAGUGGGGAAUAUUGCACAAUGGGGGAAACCCUGAUGCAGCGACGCCGCGUGAGUGAAGAAGUAUUUCGGUACGUAAAGCUCUAUCAGCAGGGAAGAAAAUGACGGUACCUGACUAAGAAGCCCCGGCUAACUACGUGCCAGCAGCCGCGGUAAUACGUAGGGGGCAAGCGUUAUCCGGAUUUACUGGGUGUAAAGGGAGCGUAGACGGCAGCACAAGUCUGGAGUGAAAUCCCAUGGCUUAACCAUGGAACUGCUUUGGAAACUGUGCAGCUGGAGUGCAGGAGAGGUAAGCGGAAUUCCUAGUGUAGCGGUGAAAUGCGUAGAUAUUAGGAGGAACACCAGUGGCGAAGGCGGCUUACUGGACUGUAACUGACGUUGAGGCUCGAAAGCGUGGGGAGCAAACAGGAUUAGAUACCCUGGUAGUCCACGCUGUAAACGAUGAUUACUAGGUGUU
rnacentral:rRNA from 1 species